GCCGGGCACGGUGGCGCACGCCUGUCAUCCCAGCGGCUCGGGAGGCUGAGGCUGGAGGAUCGUGAGUUCAAAGCCAGCCUCAG
rnacentral:sRNA from 1 species